CUUUUAUUGGUUCUUAAAACCCGAAAUUGACACUUGUUUAUUCUAAGAUAUGACCAAAUCCCAUGAAAUAGACAGUUACUUCAAUAUUUAUCAUUGUUUAUUAUAACACAGCAUAAGAGUGGAGUUUCCUCCAUGAAUCACUCUAGUACUGGACUAUACUGCACUGUACUAUACCAUGCUGUGUACCUGCCCUGCUUUGGCUUUGUUAUACCUGUAACGUACCAAAGACUAAUCUGACACUGAAAAACAAAACACACACACCAGGCACUCAGAAUGUCAAGGGACUCAGACUGGAGAUUGAGGAUGAGGUUGUGGACCCAGUCAUGGGGAUCUUUAUUUUCUAGAAAAAAUGGGGCAAUCCAAAAUCAAGGUCUGGGACAGGUGGGAAUCUUCCAAGGUGCUUACGUCGUCCAGGGCAUGAGACAAGAGUCAGAAUCUGUCAAAUUAGACUGUAGGUCGGGAACAUGGAAUCUCAAGAACCAGGAACAACAAGGGCAAAGGGGCAAGGAAGACCAGAAAGGAGGGACACUGAGGAAUAACCAUAAAGCCCAAAAAUAGGACAGAGAUGCUCAGUGAAUGUGGAGGUGAACCUGUACAGGAGGAACUUGGAGGCAGAGCGUCAAACGCCAGUAGCUGAGACGGCAUCUUUGAAAAGAAUGGAGUCCCUGUUCACCUCACUCCUAUUGCAGCCCCAUAUCCAGUCCACUGAACCUCCCAGUAACAGCGACCAGACAGACUCUCUACACACACAGAACUUGUCUAUAACAGUCAAAUCUGUCUGGAUAAUCAGGAUGUGGCUGUUUCUCUUUACUCCAUGUCACCUUUCUGUUGUCCUGAGACAGAUACAGGAGUGUGUGUGCUGUGUUGGGGUCCAGUGUGAGCUGGCAGGAGUCUGCAGAUGAAACACAGUUAAAACACUGUAAAAAUAGUGUUAAAUGUCCAGAUAAAAAACAGAUUUUACCAAAUCCUGUUAAUGUAACCUUGAGAUACUGGAU